rnacentral:lncRNA from 1 species
AUUUUUGAAGAGCAAAAAAAAAAGAAGCUCAGAGUGAAAAGCACCUGUUGGUCUUCUCUCUUCCAAGGUCCGUAUUUGUAUAAAAAUAAAUCACUUUUUCAGUCAACAUACUGUGAUAUUAGCUUAAUAGGCCUAGAAAGCAAUGUCGAAUGUUGACCCCCACAGAAUAGAACAUUGUUAUUCUCUAUUUUACUACGGCCAAUGAACAAUUACUCUUCCAUAUCAGGGUAAAAGAUGUAUGUAUAGGAAGAUCAAAUGAAGAGGUGAAGAAAUGAAUGUCGUUCAAAGAUUUUUCCCUUAAUAGCUCUAUUUUUCCACCCGUUCAGACGCUCAAAAAUGAGAUAAAAGCUUGAAUGGCGCUCAUUUCCUGGUCAAUAUCCAAGGUUGGAUAGAGUCAAUGUCAACUUAUUUAGCUCAAUUUUUAAUAUUUUCAACGUGCCUACUCUUCCAAGUUAUUGUCUGAGAAGGUUUGUGAUAAACGGAAACUCAUAUGGAUUUAAUAACAUUCAACUUCGUAGCAAUACAUGUUUUAUUAUUUUGCAAACAGUUGUGAUGUGAAUGACUAACUUUUCGGGAAUUUUUCUACCUUACAAAUCCAUGACUCAGACUUCAGAUACAAACUAUUAAUUAUGAGCCUACUAUGAAUAAGUGAGCUUUUUACCUAAUUGCAUCACUUUAGGCCCUUUAAUAGCAACUCUAGAAUGUUUUACCAUAAAAUGUACACUGUAUAUAUGCAUUUAUUAAAAAAAUAGAUUCAUCUGUAGUUA